GCUUGUCUCAAAGAUUAAGCCAUGCAUGUCUAAGUAUAAACAACUUUAUACAGUGAAACUGCAGAUGGCUCAUUAAAUCAGUUAUAAUUUAUUUGAUGAUUAACUUUACUACAUGGAUAACCGUAGUAAUUCUAGAGCUAAUACAUGCGAAAAGUCCUGACUUACGAAUGGGUGCACUUAUUAGAUAAAGCCAACGCUGGGUAAAACCAGUUUCCCUUGGUGAUUCAUAAUAAUUAAGCGGAUCGCAUGGCCUUGUGCUAGCGACAGUCCACUCGAUUUUCUGCCCUAUCAUGGUUGAGAUUGUAAGAUAGAGGCUUACAAUGCCUACAACGGGUAACGGGGAAUUAGGGUUCGAUUCCGGAGAGGGAGCCUGAGAAACGGCUACCACAUCCAAGGAAGGCAGCAGG
rnacentral:rRNA from 1 species